UGGACAGUGGCGCACGGGUGAGUAACGCGUGGGAAUCUACCAUGGAGUGGGGGAUAACAUUUGGAAACGAAUGCUAAUACCGCAUACGCCCUACGGGGGAAAGAUUUAUUGCUCUAUGAUGAGCCCGCGUUAGAUUAGGUAGUUGGUGGGGUAAUGGCCUACCAAGCCUACGAUCUAUAGCUGGUCUGAGAGGAUGAUCAGCCACACUGGGACUGAGAUACGGCCCAGACUCCUACGGGAGGCAGCAGUGGGGAAUAUUGGACAAUGGGCGUAAGCCUGAUCCAGCCAUGCCGCGUGAGUGAAGAAGGCCUUAGGGUUGUAAAACUCUUUCAACUGUGAGGAUGAUGACAGUAGCAGUAGAAGAAGCACCGGCUAAUUCC
rnacentral:rRNA from 1 species